CCGCGGCCCGACGCGCCGGCCGUCGCCAUGACGACUGGGGCGCGUGCGAUUGGUGAGGGCUGGGACCCGCCGGCCAAUGAGAGGCGGCAUGUGCUGGGGGCGGGGCGCGCGGGACGCUGGGGGCGGGGCGACUCCAAGCAGCAGGCGUCGGGGUGCCAAAUGCUCCCCGGAGAGAAACUUAACUUUUACCUUUCCUUUUCUUUUCAGGUUCUAAACGGAAAAUGCUCUGAAAGGAGAGCGUCCCUUUCUUGCUGAGGCAGCAGAGAGGAGCAUUUACAUGGAAGCGGGGCUUGCCUGCAGCCUGUUUUCAUCACCUGCAGCGAUUUCACCGCGAUCGUGGACGAAUGCAUCCCCAGUGUAGGCGCUCGGAGACCCAGUAACACAGAAGAAAGGCGGAAGGGAGCCCCGCUCAGAACCUCACGGCCUCAAGGGGAAGAGACAGGUCACGGGGCACAGUCCGGUUUGUAUGUUUCUGGCAGCCAGGACUUCCACGGACUUCGCAGCUUCGUCCUCCCUCCCCAGUCUCUAAGUCUGUGAUUUAAAAGAACUCCUGAUAAAGCUGGAAUGUGCUGGAGGCAACAUUUUUAAGACGAAAUAUUUUAUGAGGAGAGGUAAGCAGUUACUAUAGGACUACCUGGAGCUGAAGCGGCUCCGAUGUGGUCAGGAAUUCACCUUCUUUUAGUGCCUGCUGAGACAGGGCAGAAAUGAAAGGCACAGGGACCUUGCCUCCCCUCAGCACACCCGGUCCGAAAGGGAAGAUAACUCGUGACAGCAAAAGAAAGGAAUUAAGUGCAGUUAAGGCUGUGCCUGCUGUUCCGGAAAGAUUCAGUUCUGCCUUGGGGGGUUGAGAGGAUGCGAUGAGACCCUUGAGAGGUGACAGAGGAAAGGGCGGCUUUGGAUCUGGGCCUGGCAGGCUGCCGUGGGGGGUACAAAUAGGAACAUUCUCACCCAUUGGCAAAUCCACUGGCCUUGUCAAUGCAUCACCACAUUCCAGGAUAAAUGGGACAAAGGUAAGUCAUAUUAUACCACUAAAUGCAGCUGCUCCGUCACAAAACAGAGACUGAAAGAAGCUAGCAACAUACCCCAAGUUCAAGCUAAACGUUUCUCAAAGCAAACGUUUCUCAAAGCAAAGAUUUGCCCAGAUUUUCUGACUCCAAAGUCCAGCUUUUCCCUUAAAGUGUUUCUGUGUUCCCUGUAAAAUCAGGAAUAUGAUAAGGCAGUUUUGGUCUCCACAUGAUCUAAUAUGGUUCUGGUGAUUUGGUUAUUUGAUAAGUCCUGACACCAAUACUGCUUUGCUCUCACCUACUUCCUUUGUGUUGUUAUUAUCAGUAUAUUACAUUUCAGCAUGUUCUAGGCCCAACAAUACAAUGGCAUAUGUAUUGUUUUAUGAAAUUGCUUUUUAGAUAAGUCAGGAGAAAAAAAUAUGCAACUAUGUAAUUUUAUAAUUUCAUGCAUCAUUAUCUUUCCUGGUGCUCUUUUUUUCAUGUGGAUAUAAAUUACUGCCUGGUGUUACCUGCUUUUAACUUGAAGAACUUUAUUUGGUAUUUCUUGUAAGGCAGGUCUGUGAGCAACAUGUUCUCUCAGCUUUUGCUCACCGUUUAUUUCACUGCCACUUUUGUAAGGUGGUUGACUGGAUAUCAGGUUCUUGGUUACAGGUUUUUUUCUUUAAACACUUUAACCACGCCAUUCUCCUGCCUUCUCACCUCCCCUAUUUCUAAUGACAAAGAGCUGUCAAUCUUUUUGUGGUUCCCUGGGAUGUCUAGUGUCCUGUCAGGGCUCUUCCUGCUGUCAAGAUGUUCUCAUUGUCUUUGUCUGUCAUCAUUUUAAUAUGCUCGGGUGACAGUUCAUUGCAUUUAUCAUACUUGGAAUUUGCCAAGCUUCUUGAAUGUGUAGAUUAAUGGGGUUUUUUAAUCAGACUUUGCCAUUAUUUCUUUGACUAUUAUUUUCUGCUCCUUUCUAUAUCUCCUUUUCUUCUGGGACCCUCCUUAUGUGUAUGUGGGUGUAAUCAAUUAUGUCCUAUAUUUCUCUAAGGUUGUAUUCAUUUUUCUGUUUUUCAGAUUGCAUAGUUUCUAUUGAUUUAUCUUCAAGUUUGCUUAUUUCUUCUUUUGACCUAUUGCUUCACAUGUCUAGUGAAUUUUCCAUUUUAGUCAUGAUCCUUUUCGGCUCCAGAAUUUGUACUUAUUUUUUUUUAAUCAUUUCUUGAUAGAUAUUCUAUAUUUGAUAAGACAUUGUUAUUAUACCUUCCUUAAAUUCCUCCAUCAUGGUUUUCUUUAGUUCUUUGAACUCACUGAUAACUGCUCCAAAGUCUUUGUCCACCAAGUCCAACAGUUGGGCCCUCUCAAAUCCUGUUUUUCUCCCUGUGUAUGAGUCACAUAUUCCUGUUUCUUUGCAGGUCUCAUAAUGUUUUGUUGAACACUGAACUUUUCAGAUAACUCUGUAGCAACUCCGUAUAUUUAUUUCCCAGUGCCUGUUGCCAUUAUUGUUGUUUGCUUGUUUGGCUUAAGUGUCUGCUUAGUCUUAGCCAGACUAGUUCAGCGAGAUCUGGUCCCCAACAGUGUGCAUCCUCCUGAUGUCACUCUUUAGGGUAUAGCCUUGAACAUGCACAGAGGCCCCUGACCAGGCAAAUGACUCUUUAUAUGAGAAAGAGAGUAACAUAGAGAAUGAUCUCAUAACUUACAACAGGUGGAUUUAAAAGCCAAGUGAUAAUAAUAAAAUGGUAAACAUAUAUGCAAAAUAUUUUUUCAAAACUUUGCUAAUUUUUACUUUUAUUUUUGAAAAAUGAUAAAAUGUUUAUUUUAUACAUAAAAACCCUCAAAGCUAAGAUUAAAGCAGAAAUACACACACACAUUGCCAGCCACCAUGUAAUUUAUGCAGUCCUUAGUUAGCAAUAAAUAUCACCUUGAAAUCAGGCCACCACUCCUUCCUCUUCAUAGUCAUUGAUUUUGAUGUAAAGCAGGUGUAUCCUGGAAAAUGUAUCUGCUACUUAUUUUUUUCAUGAUUUGGUGAGACUCUUGGAAAAAUUAAAUCAGGGCCUUUUGUUACUCACUUGUGAAGCAUGUGGCAGGAAAAGAAACACCAACAAAAUCCUUGGACACAAUCAUUUUUAGAAAAGAGAAGUAGGGCAAAGUUCAGAUAUUAGGAAAGAGACAUGAGAGUUUAAGGAGGCGAGUGACAUCCAAGGCUCUGAAAAUAACUCUCAGGGUCCUCAUUGGAUGACAAGUACUUUAAGUCACCGUAGUCCAGCGAGGAACAAACAGGGAUUGAAGCUCCUUUCGCUCAGCUCAUGUGAGCACUUUGUCUCUGAGUCUCCAUGUCUUCAUCGAUAAAGAGAACUUCCAGGCUUGGGGAACCAGAACCCUUCCGGGAGCCACUGAGCCGGGCCCCAGGCUCCAGGCACAGGAGAUGCCAUGACCGGGACUCCCCUUAUGCAUCCCUGCAUCUGGCUGUCCAUCGGGGUCCCUUGUCACGUCCUUUAAUAGACUGGUAAACGUAAGAAAGUGUUUCCUGAGUCUGUGAGCAGCUCUAGCAAAUUAAUGCACCCUACGGGGGAGGUCGUGGGAACCUCCAGACUGCCGCUGCCGGUCAGGAGCACAGGCAACAGCCCGGGGCUGGCUGGGAUCUGGAGUGGAGUGGGGGCGGGGUGUAGGACGGAGCCCUCGGCCUGGGCAGAUAGUGUCAGAAUCGAGUUGAACUCUCAGAUACCCCACUGGGGUCUGAGAAUUGCUUGGUGUUACGCAUGGGGGAAGCCCCUGUCACACACACACACACACACAUGCACACACUUUGGAAUUGGUCUCAGAACCUAUUUAGUUCAAUUUCCCCCUUUCUCUUGCAAUCUAAAAGCUAGUAACUAUAAGAGCGUUCUGAAAGUGGUGCAAUCAUUCAAACACAGUACAAUAGGACAAAGUUAAGAAACGGAACGGUUCCAGGAAAUUCUCAAAGAUACGGGGUAAAUGUGCACAGAGAAUAUCAACACAAAAACACAUUUCCCCAAACCGUCAGCUUUUCCAGUUCCUUUAAUCUGAUGGGAAAAGAUAGGGCGUCCCUUCACUUUACAGACAAGGAAACGGAAGCCCAGAAUGGUUACAGGAAGUACCCACAUUAGCCUCAGGACCAGAACUAAAACCCACCAGGAGAAAGCAGGAAGAGAACUCAGGCCUCCUUCUACACAUCACUCCAUUUGGGCCUGGCUACUACGAAAGGCUGGAAAGUGUCUGCAUUCUAUGGCUAGCUCUGUGAUGAAAGACCCAGGCUUGCUGGAGUCAGGCGUUCUGUUCAAAUGCCAGAACUAACCACUCACAGGUUGUGACCCUCAGGCAAGGUCACAGCUACUCUAUGACUCAGUUUGUCCAUCUGUAAAAUAAGGAGCUAGGGACGCCCACCUCAUACAGUUAUUGCGACAUGUGAAAUGGUGCAUGUAACACCCUUGACACAACACCUAGGACACGGGAACCACUAGGGGCAUGAUACUGCUUAUUGUUCCGAAAACACUGACCUCAAGAGUGGCUUAACCAGGUAGUUUUGUGUUUGCAAGAAUUACAAGUUUAAAGUUCAAGGGAUAUUUCACUUUGCAAAUAGGAAAACAAAGACUCAGCCAUGGGAAGAGAAAUAGCAACAGUCAGGCAACUAGUGCUGUCAGAGCAGGAGCCAAAACUCAGGACCCCCAAUUCUCCUGUUAGACUAGAAGGUUCCAAGUAAGAACCUGGAAAAUGAAGCGUGUCUUCAAUACAUAAUUUACAAAUAGUCAUGGCAGUAAAUGCCUACUAUCAAGGCUCCAUGUGACACAAAGAAAAAUCCAUUUGGGGAGUUAAUUAUCUGUGAAGGUAUCACUCUGCCUCACGGUGAAAUAGUGACCCUGUGGAGUGACCUAAACGACCGAGAAGCACAAAGCCAGUACCAGGCUGUUAACAAUGAAAGCCAUCCGUUUUGCAAAAAUGUGUAUUCAUAGGAAAAAACAACAUAGUUCAUAAAUAAAUGUGUAUAGUGUGUACAUUGAUUUGUAUACUGAAAUGCAUAUGUGACAGAACACAAUAUAUAAUAUAUAUAAUCAUA